ACGGAGGAUGCGAGCGUUAUCCGGAUUCAUUGGGUUUAAAGGGUGCGUAGGUGGCUUGUCAAGCCAGUGGUGAAAAGUCGCGGCUCAACCGUGACCGUGCCAUUGGAACUGGCAUGGCUAGAGACUGGACGGAGUAGGCGGAAUGCGUGGUGUAGCGGUGAAAUGCAUAGAUAUCACGCAGAACCCCGUUGGCGAAGGCGGCCUACUAGGGCAGGACUGACACUGAGGCACGAAAGCGUGGGUAUCAAACAG
rnacentral:rRNA from 1 species